UAUAUUUAUCCAAUUGCACAUAUAUCCAAUUCACACAUCGAACAGCUAUAUAUACAGAUUACGAAAGCAUAGAAUAGAACAAAGGUAAGCACUAGAAUUAUCCACAUGGGUAAUUACAUAUAAUUCUAAUUUGUCUAACUUUCAGUGACAGCAGCAAACGUUUUCGCGAAGAAUAUUUUUGGCACAUUUUAAAUGCCGCGUAUAUCUAUAUACGAUCUGCGCGAAUUCUCAUACAGCGCGCAUUUAAAUAGUCCAGGGCGCGAAAUAACGGCCGGUCAACGGAUAAUGUCCGGCCAGAAUGCGGAGUUGUCAAAUUCUUACCUUGCAUGCCGGUCAUUUUGACCCGUCACUUUCGGUAAAAGAACAAACUAAUCUUCAUUUGAAAUUAAUACUCAAAAUAAAGUUGUCAAGCAUUAUAAAAAUAAUUAUAAUUACUGCCGAUGCAAUGGAAGUGUUGAUAAAAUAUUGCAUGAAUUCAUUUCCUCAAGUUGAUCAAUUCAUACGAAUUCAAAUUUCUUUUUACUUCCUGUGCGUUUCCUAUAUUAUAUUGGUCAAUCGGUUCUGAAAUGAAAUCUAAUUGGCUCAUCUAAAAGUAACAGGAAGUUGAUCAAUUUUCUAUCAAAUGAAUUGAUCAACUUGAGGAAAGGAAUUGGUGCAAUAUUUUAUCAACACUUCCUUUGCAUCGACAGUAAGAACCAUAACAUGUUGUUGAAUAUUUUGCGGCAGCUUUCCCACGCAAGUACGUCACAAAGCCCUUGGCCAUGCUUUUGGCGGUAAUUCCGCAGUUUUGCAUUGCGCACUUUUACUGCGCACAUCUUAUAACUUAUAAUUUCAUCCAUUAUACGUACCGUUUAAAACAAAACAUCAUUUUAUGACAAUUUUAUGUUACUUCAAAACAUCUUUGGUUACAAUCGUGCAAAAAAUUACGUUAAAAUCAAUGUUUUCAAAAAAGGCAUACAAAAGUGUAGCUAGGGUUCCCUGUGUCUGUAGUAUAUUUA